CGGUGAACAGAUUAUCACCUUGUUUCUGCUUAAAACUGACAUUAGAAUGAUUUAAGAGGUUUUACUUAGUCAUCUGAUGUUAAUAACAUUAUUUCCUUUGAUCAGUCGAGAGUCGGACUCAGAGAAUCAGACAGGAAUGAUGACUGGAUUGCUGUUUUAAGCAGAAA